rnacentral:sRNA from 1 species
CCUACUGUCAAGGGUGACCCCUAAUUAU